UAUUUUAAGAGUUUGAUCCUGGCUCAGGAUGAACGCUGGCGGCGUGCCUAACACAUGCAAGUCGAGCGGAGUUA
rnacentral:rRNA from 1 species